CCUACGGGCGGCAGCAGUGAGGAAUAUUGGUCAAUGGACGAGAGUCUGAACCAGCCAAGUAGCGUGAAGGAUGACUGCCCUAUGGGUUGUAAACUUCUUUUAUAUGGGAAUAAAACGUUCCACGUGUGGGAUUUUGUAUGUACCAUAUGAAUAAGGAUCGACUAACUCCGUGCCAGCAGCCGCGGUAAGACGGAGGAUCCGAGCGUUAUCCGGAUUUAUUGGGUUUAAAGGGAGCGUAGGUGGAUUGGUAAGUCAGUUGUGAAAGUUUGCGGCUCAACCGUAAAAUUGCAGUUGAAACUGGCAGUCUUGAGUACAGUAGAGGUGGGCGGAAUUCGUGGUGUAGCGGUGAAAUGCUUAGAUAUCACGAAGAACUCCGAUUGCGAAGGCAGUUCACUGGACUGCAACUGACACUGAGGCUCGAAAGUGUGGGUAUCAAACAGGAUUAGAUACCCUAGUAGUC
rnacentral:rRNA from 1 species